GGGUUGUGAGGUUAAGCGACUAAGCGUACACGGUGGAUGCCCUGGCAGUCAGAGGCGAUGAAGGACGUGCUAAUCUGCGAUAAGCGUCGGUAAGGUGAUAUGAACCGUUAUAACCGGCGAUUUCCGAAUGGGGAAACCCAGUGUGAUUCGUCACACUAUCAUUAACUGAAUCCAUAGGUUAAUGAGGCGAACCGGGGGAACUGAAACAUCUAAGUACCCCGAGGAAAAGAAAUCAACCGAGAUUCCCCCAGUAGCGGCGAGCGAACGGGGAGCAGCCCAGAGCCUGAAUCAGUGUGUGUGUUAGUGGAAGCGUCUGGAAAGGCGCGCGAUACAGGGUGACAGCCCCGUACACAAAAAUGCACAUACUGUGAGCUCGAUGAGUAGGGCGGGACACGUGGUAUCCUGUCUGAAUAUGGGGGGACCAUCCUCCAAGGCUAAAUACUCCUGACUGACCGAUAGUGAACCAGUACCGUGAGGGAAAGGCGAAAAGAACCCCGGCGAGGGGAGUGAAAAAGAACCUGAAACCGUGUACGUACAAGCAGUGGGAGCCUCUUUAUGGGGUGACUGCGUACCUUUUGUAUAAUGGGUCAGCGACUUAUAUUCUGUAGCAAGGUUAACCGAAUAGGGGAGCCGAAGGGAAACCGAGUCUUAACUGGGCGUUAAGUUGCAGGGUAUAGACCCGAAACCCGGUGAUCUAGCCAUGGGCAGGUUGAAGGUUGGGUAACACUAACUGGAGGACCGAACCGACUAAUGUUGAAAAAUUAGCGGAUGACUUGUGGCUGGGGGUGAAAGGCCAAUCAAACCGGGAGAUAGCUGGUUCUCCCCGAAAGCUAUUUAGGUAGCGCCUCGUGAAUUCAUCUCCGGGGGUAGAGCACUGUUUCGGCAAGGGGGUCAUCCCGACUUACCAACCCGAUGCAAACUGCGAAUACCGGAGAAUGUUAUCACGGGAGACACACGGCGGGUGCUAACGUCCGUCGUGAAGAGGGAAACAACCCAGACCGCCAGCUAAGGUCCCAAAGUCAUGGUUAAGUGGGAAACGAUGUGGGAAGGCCCAGACAGCCAGGAUGUUGGCUUAGAAGCAGCCAUCAUUUAAAGAAAGCGUAAUAGCUCACUGGUCGAGUCGGCCUGCGCGGAAGAUGUAACGGGGCUAAACCAUGCACCGAAGCUGCGGCAGCGACACUAUGUGUUGUUGGGUAGGGGAGCGUUCUGUAAGCCUGUGAAGGUGUGCUGUGAGGUAUGCUGGAGGUAUCAGAAGUGCGAAUGCUGACAUAAGUAACGAUAAAGCGGGUGAAAAGCCCGCUCGCCGGAAGACCAAGGGUUCCUGUCCAACGUUAAUCGGGGCAGGGUGAGUCGACCCCUAAGGCGAGGCCGAAAGGCGUAGUCGAUGGGAAACAGGUUAAUAUUCCUGUACUUGGUGUUACUGCGAAGGGGGGACGGAGAAGGCUAUGUUGGCCGGGCGACGGUUGUCCCGGUUUAAGCGUGUAGGCUGGUUUUCCAGGCAAAUCCGGAAAAUCAAGGCUGAGGCGUGAUGACGAGGCACUACGGUGCUGAAGUAACAAAUGCCCUGCUUCCAGGAAAAGCCUCUAAGCAUCAGGUAACAUCAAAUCGUACCCCAAACCGACACAGGUGGUCAGGUAGAGAAUACCAAGGCGCUUGAGAGAACUCGGGUGAAGGAACUAGGCAAAAUGGUGCCGUAACUUCGGGAGAAGGCACGCUGAUAUGUAGGUGAAGUCCCUUGCGGAUGGAGCUGAAAUCAGUCGAAGAUACCAGCUGGCUGCAACUGUUUAUUAAAAACACAGCACUGUGCAAACACGAAAGUGGACGUAUACGGUGUGACGCCUGCCCGGUGCCGGAAGGUUAAUUGAUGGGGUUAGCGGUAACGCGAAGCUCUUGAUCGAAGCCCCGGUAAACGGCGGCCGUAACUAUAACGGUCCUAAGGUAGCGAAAUUCCUUGUCGGGUAAGUUCCGACCUGCACGAAUGGCGUAAUGAUGGCCAGGCUGUCUCCACCCGAGACUCAGUGAAAUUGAACUCGCUGUGAAGAUGCAGUGUACCCGCGGCAAGACGGAAAGACCCCGUGAACCUUUACUAUAGCUUGACACUGAACAUUGAGCCUUGAUGUGUAGGAUAGGUGGGAGGCUUUGAAGUGUGGACGCCAGUCUGCAUGGAGCCGACCUUGAAAUACCACCCUUUA
rnacentral:rRNA from 1 species